CAUUAGGUGGCUGAAAGUAAGCAAUGGUCUCUUAAACCAUUCCAUAGUAAUUCUACACCUACUUCUAAUGA
rnacentral:tRNA from 1 species